UACAGAGGGUGCGAGCGUUAAUCGGAAUUACUGGGCGUAAAGCGCACGUAGGCGGCUUGGUAUGUCGGGUGUGAAAUCCCCGGGCUCAACCUGGGAACUGCAUCCGAAACUGCCUUGCUCGAGUAUGGGAGAGGGAAGUGGAAUUCCAGGUGUAGCGGUGAAAUGCGUAGAUAUCUGGAGGAACACCGGUGGCGAAGGCGGCAUCCUGGACCAACACUGACACUGAGGAGCGAAAGCCAGGGGAGCAAACGGG
rnacentral:rRNA from 1 species